rnacentral:rRNA from 1 species
UACGGGGGGGGCAAGCGUUGUUCGGAAUUACUGGGCGUAAAGGGCUCGUAGGCGGCCAACUAAGUCAGACGUGAAAUCCCUCGGCUUAACCGGGGAACUGCGUCUGAUACUGGAUGGCUUGAAUCCGGGAGAGGGAUGCGGAAUUCCAGGUGUAGCGGUGAAAUGCGUAGAUAUCUGGAGGAACACCGGUGGCGAAGGCGGCCAUCUGGACCGGUUCUGACGCUGAGGCGCGAAAGCGUGGGGAGCAAACAGG